rnacentral:sRNA from 1 species
CUUUGACUCACUGGUUGUUUAGGAGUGUGUCAUUUCCACAUAUUUUUGACUUUCCCAAAUCUCCUUCACUGUUAAUGUCCAGUUUCACGCCAGUACAGCUGAAGAACACCCCUGCUUCGGUCUCAGUCCUUUCCCAUUCACGGAGGCUCGUUGUGUGGCCUGGCACGUGGUCUGUCUUGGGGAAUGUCCCGUGGGUGCUUGAGAGGACUGUGUAUUCUGCCGUUGUUGGGUGGCAUGUGUGAUAGAUGUCCACUCGGCGUACCUGGUUUCUGGUGUUCAUCUCCGGAAUGUUGCUGACACUAGAAAAUCAGAAGCUUUCCACUGUUCCCAGCGCCCUGGCUUUGGGAGAGGCCUGUGGGUUUGGAGCCUGGCUGCACGGGAGGAGCAUGUGCGGGAAUGCCAGGGGCCGGCUUUGAACCCCAUUCCCCCAACAUGAUGCCGUGUGCAGCAGACGUGAUGCUUGGCUUUGCUCCCUCAGGGUUCCAUCUGCGACAGGGGCUACUUGUGUCCCUGGCCUCAUCAGCUCGGGCUGAAGGUGGCCCUGGUCCUGGCCAGAGGGGCUUUGUGAAGCAGAAACAGAUGGCCUGGUGCAGGGGUCGAGCCUGGCCAGGACCUCACCCCUGGGAGUUGUAAAGAAGACCGGCCUCUACCAUGGGCAUCUGCACCAAGCUGUGCCCAUGUCACGGUGUGCUCGGUGGCUGCCCUUGCACGGGUGCCUGGCCUGUCCGUGCUCAGGCUCCUCGCCUAUGGGGCCCAGGCUCACAGAGGUGUGAAAGAGGCAAGCACACCACAGGGACCUCUGAGCCCAGCCAGCCUCGCUUCGAUGCUGGGAGGCUGACGUCUUCCUUUUUGUCUUCCGCCCAGGCCAGCUGCGGGCCGUCCAGCGGCUGUGCCACUUCUACAGUGCCGUCAUGCCCAGCGAGGCCCAGUGUGUCAUCUACCAUGAGCUCCAGCUCUCCCUGGCCUGCAAGGUGGCCGACAAGGUGCUGGAGGGGCAGCUCCUGGAGACCAUCAGCCAGUUCUACCUGUCCCUGGGCACUGAGCGGGCCUACAAAUCCGCACUGGACUACACCAAACGGAGUCUGGGGAUUUUCAUUGACCUCCAGAAGAAAGAGAAGGAGGCGCAUGCCUGGCUGCAAGCAGGAAAGAUCUAUUACAUCUUGCGACAGAGCGAGCUGGUUGACCUGUACAUCCAGGUGGCGCAGAAUGUGGCCCUGUACACAGGCGACCCCAACCUGGGGCUAGAGCUGUUUGAGGCGGCUGGAGACAUCUUCUUCAAUGGGGCCUGGGAGCGGGAGAAAGCCGUGUCCUUCUACCGGGUGAGCUGGCCUAUGGGCUGAUGUGGGUGGGCCCCAGGGGGGCACCUUGAGGGCUGAGGCACAGGUGUGGUCGGGCAGAGGCCUCCCACCUGGAGGCAGGGCCACCCAUGCACAUGCUUAGUUUCCUAGUGGUUUCACCAGGAAUGAUAUUGACUGUGCCCCCACCGCCCGGGACAAACACUUGGGGCCUGAACACAGCAAUGGCCUUACCCUUGCACCUGAUGAUCUCAAGCAACCUUGAGUGGGAAGUCCCGUCCCCAUUUGACAGAUGACGAAACUGAGGCUCAGAGAGGCACAAGGACAUGUCAAAGGACACACAGCAUGCCAGUGGGAGGCCCAGGGCCAGGGCCCAGGUCUCCAUGCACCCCGAAGUGGGGACGGCUUCUCCCUUCCUCUGAGCUCACGGUGUGGCUCAGUCCUGGGCACAGAUAAAUGUGGUGUUUUUAGAGCAGAGAGGAGUGCUGGCUCCCCCCAGGCAGAUCCCCGGUGCCCAGGUGGGAGGGGCUGGUCUGAGGCUGCCAGGUGUAGCUGGAUGGGCCUCAGGUGACUCUUCAGCCUCCAGUUUGGGUGUCUGAACCGCCCUUUAUCUCAGAGCACAGAGCUGUGUCAAGGCCUAGGGGUAGCUGGGGUGUGGGAAGCUCCGAGCACGUGUUUGAGUUCUGAGGAGGGCGCUGGGCAAGGUGGGUGCUGCAGGAAGCCUGACCCCAUCUACCUGUGUGGCAGGACCGGGCCCUGCCCCUGGCAGUGACUACGGGCAACCGCAAGGCAGAGCUGCGGCUGUGCAACAAGCUGGUGGCACUGCUGGCCACGCUGGAGGAGCCCCGGGAGGGCUUGGAGUUUGCCCACACGGCCCUAGCACUCAGCAUCACCCUGGGUAAGCCCCCUGAGCCCCUGCCCUGCCAGGACCCACACUUUGCCAGAGCUCAGCCUCCAGGUCUGCAGGGCAGGAGCCGAAACAGCUGCCGGAUUUUCCUGGUCUCCCGUCCAGGCAGGCAGAUCUGCCCAGCUAGCUCCCCCGUCCGGCCGCGGGGCACAGCCCGAGGGCUCUCACGCAGUGCAGAGCUCCCUGCCUGGCUGAGCUCUGCUUCCUGUGCCUCUUCCCCCUGCUGACCACGAGGGCCGCCCAGUGUGCCCUCUGCCUUCCAGACAUGCCAGGCAUCUCGUUGGUCCCUGCAUGUGCCAGGCUGAGUGGCACGUUCCCUUUCUCUUGUACCCUUCCCACCCUCAUCAACCGCAUGGCUCUCUGGCUGAUGAAAUCCCAGUUCCCCUUCCAGCAGCCUCUUAAUGCUGGGCAUCCCCCGGUGCUGGGCCAGGGUCAUCUGUCCUCCUCUAGAGAGAGGGAGCCCUGGACAGGCCGCAUGCCCCAGUGCCUUGCGCCCCAGGGCCUGGUACACAGGUGUGCAGCCACGUGGGAAUGCAUUGAAUGCAGGCUCCACGGCACUCUCCCUGAAAAGGGGAGGACACCGGAGACAGCCUGGGUGGGCUUGCGCAUCUGCAGGGGGACCUGGAGCUCAGGCACGCAGUGACUCCCCAAGGUAGGGGCCUCCGAUGAUGACACACCCAGGAAGAGUCGGAUGUCACGUCUGUGGGUUGCCUGGAGCCCUGGUGCCCAGGAGCACCUGGGCUGCGUGCCUUUUGGGCUCUCCUGGUUAAAAACAGUGAGCAAAGGCAGGUGGCUGUGUGUAGGCACAGAGCUGGGCCAUCCAAGUCUGAGUCUGCCAAAGCCUCACGGUAGACGGGGGCAGGCCUUAUUAGUUCUGCUUUGCAGAUGGGAAAGUGAGUCUGGGAGCCCUGAAGGGACUGGCCAGAACUGCCCAGGUGAUGCAGGUGCCUGGAGGCGAGCCAGGUGCUGCCUGGGGUCUGCAUGCCUGCUCCUGAGGGUCCUGUGCCCUGCCUGCCCCAGGGAGCCAUGUCCUCACACCUGCCCCCUUGGCCUGCACCCCAGGGGACCGGCUGAACGAGCGUGUGGCCUACCACCGGCUGGCCGCCCUGCAACACCGGCUGGGCCAUGGCGAGCUGGCAGAGCACUUCUACCUCAAGGCCCUGUCGCUCUGCAACUCGCCGCUGGAGUUUGACGAGGAGACCCUGUACUACGUGAAGGUGUACCUGGUGCUCGGUGACAUCAUCUUCUACGACCUGAAGGACCCGUUUGAUGCAGCCGGGUACUACCAGCUGGCGCUGGCGGCCGCCGUGGACCUGGGCAACAAGAAGGCACAGCUGAAGAUCUACACGCGGCUGGCCACCAUCUACCACAACUUCCUCCUGGACCGUGAGAAAUCGCUCUUCUUUUACCAGAAGGCCAGGACCUUCGCCACAGAGCUCAACGUCCGCAGGGUCAACCUGCCUCCUCUGCCACUCUGCGGGUGGGCCCCUUGGUUGGCCCCCAGCCACCCUCGCUGAGGACAGCAUCCAAGGGAGUGGGUUUUGUGCAAGGGGCGGGGGUCUCCUGCCUCUCCUGGUGUCUCCGGUGGCUCAUAUUCUGGGAAAUGGAGGCACGAAUGCAGGGGUCAAAUAGCAAUAAAUUGGUUUUUUU